AAUGAACGCUGGCGGCAGGCCUAACACAUGCAAGUCGAGCGAACACACCGGGAGCUUUCGCCUCUGAGGGUGGCGAGUGACGGAUGGGUAACACGUGGAUAGCAUACCUCUUAGACUGGGGGAAUAACGGCGGACCAGAGCUACUACCGCAUCAUAUAUCGAACCGGUUGAUGCACGAGUUAAAGACGGUUUUGCUGUCUGUAAUAGCCGAUUCCGGGCCGAAUUAGCUAGUUGGUAAGGUAACGGCUUAGCAAGGCUACGAUGCGUAGCCGACCUGAGCGGGUGAUCGGCCACACUGGAACUGAGACACGGUCCAGACUCCUACGGGAGGCAGCAGUAGGGAAUCUUACGCAAUGGGCGAAAGCCUGAUCGAGCAACACCGCGUGAGUGAUGAAGGCCUUCGGCUCGUAAAGCGCUGUUGUUCGGAAAGAAAAAAAGCGUAUUAAACUAUGCACGUCCUGACGGUACCUAAAGAAAAAGCCCCGGCUAACUACGUG
rnacentral:rRNA from 1 species